ACAAGGUGCUGCAUGGCUGUCGUCAGCUCGUGCCGUGAGGUGUUGGGUUAAGUCCUAUAACGAGCGAAACCCUUUUACUUAAUUGCCAGCACGUAAUGGUGGGAACUUUAAGUAGACUGCCCGUGUAAGCGGGAGGAAGGAGAGGAUGAGGUCAAGUCAUCAUGGCCUUUAUGCCCAGGGCUACACACGUACUACAAUGGCAUGUACAAAAGGAAGCUACUUGGUAACAAGAUGCAAAUCUCAAAAGCAUGUCUCAGUUCGGAUUGGGGUCUGCAAUUCGACCUCAUGAAGUUGGAAUCGCUAGUAAUCGCGUAUCAGCAAUGACGCGGUGAAUACGUUCU
rnacentral:rRNA from 2 species